rnacentral:rRNA from 1 species
CCUACGGGAGGCAGCAGUAGGGAAUAUUGCUCAAUGGGGGAAACCCUGAAGCAGCAACGCCGCGUGGAGGAUGAAGGUUUUCGGAUUGUAAACUCCUUUUGUUAGAGAAGAUAAUGACGGUAUCUAACGAAUAAGCACCGGCUAACUCCGUGCCAGCAGCCGCGGUAAUACGGAGGGUGCAAGCGUUACUCGGAAUCACUGGGCGUAAAGAGCGCGUAGGCGGGAUAACAAGUCAGAUGUGAAAUCCUAUGGCUUAACCAUAGAACUGCAUUUGAAACUGUUAUUCUAGAGUAUGGGAGAGGUAGGUGGAAUUCUUGGUGUAGGGGUAAAAUCCGUAGAGAUCAAGAGGAAUACUCAGUGCGAAGGCGACCUACUAGACCGUAACUGACGCUGAUGCGCGAAAGCGUGGGGAGCAAACAGGAUUAGAUACCCCUGUAGUC